AUGCCCUCGUGGGCCGGCGCCGGCCAAGGAAGUCGCCAACUCGGACACCCCGCUCACCUUCCCCGAGGACGACGAGCACGACGAGGCGGCGGCGGAGGACGAGGCCAAGGCAUGUGUACAGGACAAGCCGAGGACGAGGCCCUGGAUUUCAUCGUCGAGGAGGAGCUGGUGGUUGAGGUGAAGGAGGAGGUCGUGGUGGUGUGGAGGAGGUCGAGGAGUAUGUGGAGCCGUCGGAGGAGGCCAAGGUGUACGUGUUCAACCUUCCCUAUGACGUCAGCAGCGAGCGCCUCGCGCAGCUCUUCGAUCAGGCCGGUGUCGUUGAGGUUGCCGAGCCAGCGCCGUCGAGGUUAUCGUGGUGAGCAGCUCUUCCUCUUAGACCAUCUUCAGUGCUGGAUGAUAGUUUCACAGUUGAUAUGUGGCAUCGGUGACAAAAGAUGCAUCAAGUUUGCACAAGCAAUGGAGUUGGCUCUAGCUCUUGAAAAGAUGGUGAACGAGAAGCUGCCCAACGUGCUCACUAUUGCGGCGGCAGCGGGGGUUUUGUGUCGGCAUGCUGCGAGGAGCUAUUGGACAGUGACCGAUGGUGGUGGAUCAGAGUUGGAAUUCAAGAGGGUUGGUGUGGUCGCAGUUAUCUGA
rnacentral:rRNA from 1 species